rnacentral:lncRNA from 1 species
UCAAACUACAGUCCUGAGCCAUAUGACCUGAAAGGACUAUAUAUACAAAGGUGGUCCAGAAGAUUAUAAUCCUGUAUUUUUUCCUGUACCUUUUGUACGCUUAGACGUGUUCAGAUACACAAACAUUUUCCAUUGUGUUACAACGGCCUAUAGUAUUCAGUAUAGUGACCUGCUAUACAGGUUCGUACCUAGGAGCAGUAAGCUGUCUAUAUCAUAUAUCAUAUCUAUAUCACAUAGUGGGCUAUACCAUUGAGCCUACUAUGUACCUGGGCUGUAUGUUAGUAUUUAGGUUUGUGUGAAAUAUACAGCCAGGUGAUUUUUGUAUUUAGGUUUGUGUAAAAUAUACUAUGAUGCUUGCACAACAGUGAAAUCAUCUACACAUUUCUCAGAACCUCUUUUUUUCUUUUCUUUUUCUUUUUCUUUUUAUACAAAAUUUAGCUGGGCGUGGUGGGCGCCUGUAAUCCCAGCUACUCGAGCUCUCCCUCUCCCUCUCUCUCCACGGUCUCCCUCUGAUGCCGAGCCGAAGCUGGACUGUACUGCUGCCAUCUCGGCUCACUGCAAGCUCCCUGCCUGAUUCUCCUGCCUCAGCCUGCCGAGUGCCUGCGAUUGCAGGCGCGCGCUGCCAUGCCUGACUGGUUUCCAAACAAAGCACAUCAGCAGACUGCACUUAGCCUGGGGCCGGCCACGUGCCACCCUGCUGUUGCAGCUGUCUCUAAGGACUGCGCUGUCCUCUGCCUGUCUAAAGACCCUGGGGAACUCUGGGUCUGGUGGCCAAAGGGGAGUCACCUCAGUGAACAACAGCUCCUUCAGCCCAUUGAUAUGAAUAAUUAAUUUCUGCGUGCUCACUGCCAGCCCACAAAGGUUACCAACAAGCUCGGCAUUCAGGAAGCCACUCUGUGCCCUCUGAGACAAUGAGGACAGGCGUGGGGGGAUCCUAGGGGUGUUCAGGGAGCCCCAUAAUGAAGCCCAGCAUGGUGAGCUGUGCUCAGCCCAGAAAGAGCUGUGUUCCAAUCCUGGCUCUGUCCUUUGUGAGCUGUGUGACUACAGACCAGUGACUCAAUGUCUCUAGACUUGUUAAUAUAGAAUGAGAAGAAUGAUCCUUAGUCUCAUGGGAACAUACUGAUUAAAGUAUGUGUGUAACCUACACUUCUGCUCAACAUUCGGCAUGCCAAAACCAUCUCAUUAUAGUCAGCUGUCCCCAAAUUACAAAUGGACGAUUUCAAACUUUGGCCGAUGAGUCUGUUCUUUAUGAUUUGAAAUAAUGCUGUAAGUGAUGAGUAGGUCACCAAGAUGGGCCCCCAAGUCCAGUGAACAGAGACCUUGGAAAACUGCAGUGUACUUCUAGACUUCUCUGAAUUCCUUAUACAUUCCAAAUGUGCAAAAUCCCCAAGGAAAUCGCGUUUUUCAGAGAGCUGAGCAAUCAGAUCUUUAGGCCUUCCACCCUCACAAAUGAAGUUAAUAUACUACUAGGUCAAUGACAUCAGGAACACAAUAGGUUUGCAUGGUGCUUAAUUCUAGUAUCCUUUUCUAUCUGUUUGUUUGUUUGUUUGUUUGUUUGUAACAGAGUCUCAAUCAGGUUACAGAUGAAUCAGGUUCAGGUAACAUGACUACUUAGUAGGAAAUUCAUUUCCCAUAAAGAUUAAAAAUAAAAAGUCUCAGGGCCAAGUGUGGUGGCUCAUAUCUGUAAUCUCAGCACUUGUGGAGGCCAAGGAGCGAGGAUCACUUGAGCCCGGGAGUUCUAGACGAGCCUGGGGAACAUAGUGAGACGUGCACAUGUAUGUACAUGUGCAGGUGUCUGUGUAUGCAUGUAUGUGGCAGUGUGCCAUGUAUAUACGUGUGCAGGUGUGUAUGUGUGUGCAUGCAUGUAUGUGGCACUGUGCCAUGUGUAUACGUGUAGGUGUGCAGUGGCAGUGUGUCACGUAUAUACAUGUGCUGCUGUGCGUGUGUGUGCAUGCAUGUGACAGUGUACCAUGUGUAUACGUGUGCAGGUGUGUGUGUAUAUGUGUGCAUGCAUGUAUGUGGCAGUGUACCAUGUAUA